GGAUGAACGCUGGCGGCGUGCCUAAUACAUGCAAGUCGAGCGAACGGACGAGAAGCUUGCUUUUCUGAUGUUCGCGGCGGACGGGUGAGUAACACGUGGAUAACCUACCUAUAAGACUGGGAUAACUUCGGGAAACCGGAGCUAAUACCGGAUAAUAUUUUGAACCGCAUGGUUCAAAAGUGAAAGACGGUCUUGCUGUCACUUAUAGAUGGAUCCGCGCUGCAUUAGCUAGUUGGUAAGGUAACGGCUUACCAAGGCAACGAUGCAUAGCCGACCUGAGAGGGUGAUCGGCCACACUGGAACUGAGACACGGUCCAGACUCCUACGGGAGGCAGCAGUAGGGAAUCUUCCGCAAUGGGCGAAAGCCUGACGGAGCAACGCCGCGUGAGUGAUGAAGGUCUUCGGAUCGUAAAACUCUGUUAUUAGGGAAGAACAUAUGUGUAAGUAACUGUGCACAUCUUGACGGUACCUAAUCAGAAAGCCACGGCUAACUACGUG
rnacentral:rRNA from 1 species